AGUGAACGCUGGCGGUAGGCCUAACACAUGCAAGUCGAACGGCAGCACAGUAAGAGCUUGCUCUUACGGGUGGCGAGUGGCGGACGGGUGAGGAAUACAUCGGAAUCUACUUUUUCGUGGGGGGUAACGUAGGGAAACUUACGCUAAUACCGCAUACGACCUACGGGUGAAAGCAGGGGAUCUUCGGACCUUGCGCGAUUGAAUGAGCCGAUGUCGGAUUAGCUAGUUGGCGGGGUAAAGGCCCACCAAGGCGACGAUCCGUAGCUGGUCUGAGAGGAUGAUCAGCCACACUGGAACUGAGCCACGGUCCAGACUCCUACGGGAGGCAGCAGUGGGGAAUAUUGGACAAUGGGCGCAAGCCUGAUCCAGCCAUACCGCGUGGGUGAAGAAGGCCUUCGGGUUGUAAAGCCCUUUUGUUGGGAAAGAAAAGCAGCAGGUUAAUACCCCGCUGUUCUGACGGUACCCAAAGAAUAAGCACCGGCUAACUUCGUG
rnacentral:rRNA from 1 species